UACGAAGGGGGCUAGCGUUGUUCGGAUUUACUGGGCGUAAAGCGCACGUAGGCGGAUAUUUAAGUCAGGGGUGAAAUCCCGGGGCUCAACCCCGGAACUGCCUUUGAUACUGGGUAUCUCGAGUUCGAGAGAGGUGAGUGGAAUUCCGAGUGUAGAGCUGAAAUUCGUAGAUAUUCGGAGGAACACCAGUGGCGAAGGCGGCUCACUGGCUCGAUACUGACGCUGAGGUGCGAAAGCGUGGGGAGCAAACAGG
rnacentral:rRNA from 1 species